rnacentral:lncRNA from 1 species
UCUGGUGGCCGCCUGCAUGGGCACCUACCGCCGCGCAGCCAGGGCGCUCCUGGCGCGAGCCCGCACCCUGCACCUGCAGGCUGGGAACCUGCUGAGCUGGGGCCGUCUGCAGAGGAAGUGUCUUUCCACGCACAGCGAGGAGGUGAGGGCCGGCCAGCAGCGUCCGCGCAAAUCCAGGUUCUGGGGCAGGCGGCCGGCCAGGGCAGGUGAGGGAGAGCACGCCUGGGCGCCGCUGGGGACUGCGGCCAGGGUCAGUGCAACCUCUUGUCCGGACCUGCCGCCUGGGGCCGAGCGUCCUAAAAACUCAGCAGGUGCAGCUGCACACCCAGUGCCGCCUCUGCCACUGUUCGAGGUGGAUAGCAGAACUCUGAGACGCGCUGGCAGGGGAAUCGGGGAGCGCCAGUAAGUGGCUGGGUGCCUCUAUCAAUCUCUUGCUCUCUUCCCCACCCUUUCCUUUCGAAAGGAAUAUUCGAAAGAUUAACUUUUGGUAAAUGAAAUAAUAUUCACAAUACGCUUAACUUUGUGUCAAUGUUGGUAUUAAUCUAUUGCUGUGAAGCAAAUGACGAAACAACUCAAAUUUGGUUUGGGCGUAGACACGAAUUUUUUUCUUACUGGAAGUUAAUCUGCCUCAUUUUAUUUUCCCGAAGGCUGAUCACUAGUUAGUUGGAGGUGGCAGAUGUUAAUCUAGAAGUAUGCACUUGUUACUCCUUUGUUGCUGACUCUUUCUGAGCCAGUGAGUAGUCAUCUAUUGACUGCACAAGUAAUUUGUGGCACGGAAUAAUUUUAGUACUUGAAAAAAAUUCCCAGUGACUAUGUGCGUUUAUGAUGUGUUGGUUAAAUGUAAAAGUAAUAGAACAAAAACUUCAGGAGCCAUGCGACUUUGGGAAAGAAGCUUUGAAGUUGGAUGCUACCUUCCUCAUCAGGUUGUUGUGAAAAUUAAGAGAUUAUAUAUGAAAAUACUCAACCUAGGAGAGUUUAUCUCCAUAUAACCUGGUUCUAUCAGAAAAAUGCCUUGAUUAAAAGAACCAGUUGCCUCAACUGUCAAAUUAUCAGCUGUUCAGAGUAAGAUUUAGCUAUUUUUAUAGAGAGCUGUUGUCCACAGAACCUGCAGUAAGUAGCAGUUUGUAUGUGUGGGGAACCAGCAACCUUCAGGAAGUGAGAACUCUUGGUUGUCACUUUAAUAUGCACCAGAAUCCCUAUCCUAUUCUAUGUUUGGGUUCCAACUUUGUUUAAACCACCCACUUUGACUUUCUCUGAAAGAUAAGUAUUUCUAUAUUUGUUACAUAGAGCCUUAAUUUCUUUCAGCAGUGAUAGUCAUGACCAAGGUAGCUGGAAGUUCUGCAGGUAUUUUGAUGAUAUUGGUGAGAUUUUUUUCUGUUAUAUCACUAUAACACAUUGUAGAGUAGUGGCUUUCAAUUUUUUUUUACUCCAAAUGGUACGAAAUGUAUUUUACCCAUGCAGUUCAUAAUUAUAUAUUUAUAUGUGUGUAUCAAUAUGUCUGAAACAGAGAUCUCACAAAAAGAUGUUAACUCUUUUUUACUGAACCAUCUCAUUUUUUUUCUAUCCUGUUUUUAAUUUUUUUUUUUUUAACAGGAUGCUGGGGAUGAAACUCAGGGUCUCACACAUGCUAUCCAAGGGCUCCACCACUGAACUACACUGGGACAGUGUGUGCUGAUGCACACAGUUUUCUGAAAAACAUUGUUCAGAGGAUUAAUUCUGGUCUGUAGUGUUUUGUUUGGGGUGCCUUGUCAGAGUAGAACAAAACUAAAGGCCCUAGGAAAUUUGAGGAAAAUGUGAAGAAAUAGCAGCAUAUUGUAGGGAAACUAUAACAGUUUAAUUAGAGUAGGAUAGGCAUGUUUAAUUUCUAUGUAAAUAAGUUUUCAUAGAGAGCUCCAGAAUGGGAUGUACCAGUUGAAACAGCUCAACCUCAUUGAAGAGAUUAAAGAAAGUGAAAAAAAUCAUUCAUUAUUAAAAAUUUACACAUUCGAUAGUGUUCAAUUCUUAAAAAAUGUUUUCUAGUUCUAAUGCUUUUUUGAUUCUAUGAUUUUUUCCCCAUAUUUUUGUGUUUCACUAGAGUUUUAUGAACUCAAAUAUUUUACAAAUUGUAUUUACUUAUUUAUGACAGUGCUGAGGAUUGAAACUAGGGUCAAAUAUUGUUUAUAUAUGAGUCAUUGUAAGAUUGUUUUGCCCUUUCUGUUGUUGAGUAUUUGAUCAGUUGAAUUGUGGUAUUUUUAAGAUUCUUAAGCCAUUCUGGAUCUAAUAUACACUACACUGUGAUGAUAGUUAUCUUUCGUGAUACUGUGUAUGUGAUGAUGAAGAAAGCAGGAAACAAAAAGGCGUAAGGUUAAUAUUCAGUCAAUAUAGAUAACAUGUAACUUACAAAAUUAAAAAUCAUUCAGUUUGUAAUAUAGUCAGUGAAUUUAUUUAUAAUCAUAACUUUAAACUUUUCAAUUUAUCCUGAAUUUUGCAGAAACCAAUAUUAAUUAAAGAAAUGGUUUCAGAAAAGGGGUGAAUACUUCGUUCUGAAUUUAAGAAUUCAUCAGGAAAGCCUUCUAUGUAAAUGAAUCAUCCAGAGAAAAAUUUCUUUGAAUUCUCCCACAAUUUGAGCCAAAGCAGUGCUAAUAAAAUUGUUAACUUAAUCAGUCUUGCUUCCUCAACAGUUACUGAUUUAUCUGGUAAGAUUAUCAACUAAUUUUUAUCUACCGACUUCAAGUUGAUUAGAAAUACAUUUUGCAUAAGAAUAUACACCUUGUAACUUAAAUUCAAGUAAGUUACUAUGGGUAGAUAAUAAAUUAUUGUUGUAGAUUGUAAAUCCUAACAUAAGUGGCUGUGUGCCC